GGAUGCGAUCAUACCAGCACUAAAGCACCGGAUCCCAUCAGAACUCCGAAGUUAAGCAUGUUUGGGCGAGAGUAGUACUAGGAUGGGUGACCUCCUGGGAAGUCCUCGUGUUGCAUUCC
rnacentral:rRNA from 2 species